rnacentral:rRNA from 1 species
UACGAAGGGGGCUAGCGUUGUUCGGAAUUACUGGGCGUAAAGAGCUCGUAGGCGGUUUGUUGCGUCGGCUGUGAAAUCCCGAGGCUCAACCUCGGGUCUGCAGUCGAUACGAGCAAACUAGAGUGUUGCAGGGGAGACUGGAAUUCCUGGUGUAGCGGUGAAAUGCGCAGAUAUCAGGAGGAACACCGGUGGCGAAGGCGGGUCUCUGGGCAACAACUGACGCUGAGGAGCGAAAGCGUGGGGAGCGAACAGG